rnacentral:rRNA from 1 species
CUACGGGAGGCAGCAGUGGGGAAUUUUCCGCAAUGGGCGAAAGCCUGACGGAGCAAUACCGCGUGAGGGAAGACGGCCUAUGGGUUGUAAACCUCUUUUUUCAGGGAGGAAUUUUGACGUGUACCUGAAGAAUAAGCAUCGGCUAACUCCGUGCCAGCAGCCGCGGUAAGACGGAGGAUGCAAGUGUUAUCCGGAAUCGCUGGGCGUAAAGCGUCUGUAGGUGGUUGAACAAGUCAACUGUUAAAUCUUGAGGCUCAACUUCAAAAUCGCAGUCGAAACUGUUUGACUAGAGUAUAGUAGGGGUAAAGGGAAUUUCCAGUGGAGCGGUGAAAUGCGUAGAUAUUGGAAAGAACACCGAUGGCGAAGGCACUUUACUGGGCUAUUACUGACACUCAGAGACGAAAGCUAGGGUAGCAAAUGGGAUUAGAUACCCCAGUAGUCCUAGCCGUAAACAAUGGAUACUAGAUGUUGAACAGAUCGACCUGUGCAGUAUCAAAGCUAACGCGUUAAGUAUCCCGCCUGGGAAGUAUGCUCGCAAGAGUGAAACUCAAAU